rnacentral:rRNA from 1 species
UAGGGAAUCUUCCGCAAUGGGCGAAAGCUUGACGGAGCAACGCCGCGUGAGUGAUGAAGGUCUUCGGAUCGUAAAACUCUGUUAUUAGGGAAGAACAAAUGUGUAAGUAACUAUGCACGUCUUGACGGUACCUAAUCAGAAAGCCACGGCUAACUACGUUCCAGCAGCCGCGGUAAUCCGUAGGUGGCAAGCGUCUUCCGUAAUUAUUGGGCGUAAAGCGCCCGUAGGCGGUUUUUUAAGGCUGAUGUGAAAGCCCACGGCUCAACCGUGGAGAGUCAUUGGACACUGGAAAACUUGAGUGCAGAAGAGGAAAGGGGAAUUCCAUGUGUAGCGGUGAAAUGCGCAGAGAUAUGGAGGAACACCAGUGGAGAAGGCGACUUUCUGGUCUGUAACUGACGCUGAUGUGCGAAAGCGUGGGGAUCAAACAGG